GUAUUCAGGAACAGGAAACGGUGAGGCUGUCUAGACGCUAAGAUGUCAAACGCUAUGUGGAGCAGGUAGAUUCAUGGGAGGCAAAUAAUGCAGGUCACCACGUCAGAACUGCUCUUACACUGAUACAGCAUGCCUGGAUACAACAGCACUGCACAGCCUUGCCCUUUCCUCCUGUAUUGAUGUUUAUCAGUUCGCCUUAUACGUUUGUUCAGGAACUACAGAGGCAGCAAAUGAAUCUGACUGAAAUACACAACUAGAGGAAGUGAGAACACAAGGAGUGGCAGUGAAGAUACAGGAACCCCCAGGUACGUGGGAGUCGUGCUUACAUGAUUGCUGCAGCGAGGAAAACUGCACAGCUGAGCUCAAAUUCCAUGGCUGCAAAGGAAGCACACGGAGCUGAGAGAGGAUUCCCAAACAUUUGG
rnacentral:lncRNA from 1 species